rnacentral:rRNA from 1 species
GCAAUUAUACAGCGAAACUGCGAAUGGCUCAUUAUAUAAGUUAUCGUUUAUUUGAUAGUACUUUACUACUUGGAUAACCGUGGUAAUUCUAGAGCUAAUACAUGCUAAAAAUCCCGACUUCGGAAGGGAUGUAUUUAUUAGAUUAAAAACCAAUGCCCUUUGGGCUCCUUGGUGAAUCAUGAUAACUUCUCGAAUCGCAUGGCCUUGCGCCGGCGAUGGUUCAUUCAAAUUUCUUCCCUAUCAACUUUCGAUGUUUGGGUAUUGGCCAAACAUGGUCGCAACGGGUAACGGAGGGUUAGGGCUCGACCCCGGAGAAGGAGCCUGAGAAACGGCUACUACAUCCAAGGAAGGCAGCAGGCGCGCAAAUUACCCAAUCCCGACUCGGGGAGGUAGUGACAAUAAAUACUGAUACGAGGCUCUUUUGGGCCUUGUAAUUGGAAUGAGUACAAUUUAAAUCUCUUAACGAGGAACAAUUGGAGGGCAAGUCUGGUGCCAGCAGCCGCGGUAAUUCCAGCUCCAAUAGCGUAUAUUAAAGUUGUUGUGGUUAAAAAGCUCGUAGUUGAACCUUGGGCCUGGCUGGCCGGUCCGCCUCACCGCGUGUACUGGUCCGGCCGGGCCUUUCCCUCUGUGGAACCUCAUGCCCUUCACUGGGUGUGACGGGGAAGCAGGACUUUUACUGUGAAAAAAUUAGAGUGCUCCAAGCAGGCCUAUGCUCGAAUACAUUAGCAUGGAAUAAUGAAAUAGGACGUGCGGUUCUAUUUUGUUGGUUUCUAGGACCGCCGUAAUGAUUAAUAGGGACAGUCGGGGGCAUCAGUAUUCAAUUGUCAGAGGUGAAAUUCUUGGAUUUAUUGAAGACUAACUACUGCGAAAGCAUUUGCCAAGGAUGUUUUCAUUAAUCAGGAACGAAAGUUAGGGGAUCGAAGACGAUCAGAUACCGUCGUAGUCUUAACCAUAAACUAUGCCGACUAGGGAUCGGACGAUGUUAUUUUUUGACUCGUUCGGCACCUUACGAGAAAUCAAAGUGUUUGGGCUCCAGGGG